GUAGGGACCAAGCGUUGUUCGGAUUUACUGGGCGUAAAGGGCGCGUAGGCGGCGCUGUAAGUCACUUGUGAAAUCUCCGGGCUUAACUCGGAACGGCCAAGUGAUACUGCAGUGCUAGAGUGCAGAAGGGGCAAUCGGAAUUCUUGGUGUAGCGGUGAAAUGCGUAGAUAUCAAGAGGAACACCUGAGGUGAAGACGGGUUGCUGGGCUGACACUGACGUUGAGGCGCGAAAGCCAGGGGAGCAAACGGGAUUAGAUACCCCGGUAGUCCUGGCCCUAAACGAUGAAUACUUGGUGUCUGGAGACUUAAUGCUCCGGGUGCCGUCGCUAACGUUUUUAGUAUUCCGCCUGGGGAGUACGCUCGCAAGAGUG
rnacentral:rRNA from 1 species